rnacentral:rRNA from 1 species
GGUUAAGUUAGAAAGGGCGCACGGUGGAUGCCUUGACACUAGGAGUCGAUGAAGGACGGGACUAACGCCGAUAUGCUUCGGGGAGCUGUAAGUAAGCUUUGAUCCGAAGAUUUCCGAAUGGGGAAACCCACCAUACGUAAUGGUAUGGUAUCCUUACCUGAAUACAUAGGGUAAGGAAGACAGACCCAGGGAACUGAAACAUCUAAGUACCUGGAGGAAGAGAAAGCAAAUGCGAUUUCCUGAGUAGCGGCGAGCGAAACGGAACAUAGCCCAAACCAAGAGGCUUGCCUCUUGGGGUUGUAGGACAUUCUAUACGGAGUUACAAAGGAACGAGGUAGACGAAGCGACCUGGAAAGGUCCGUCGUAGAGGGUAACAACCCCGUAGUCGAAACUUCGUUCUCUCUUGAAUGUAUCCUGAGUACGGCGGAACACGUGAAAUUCCGUCGGAAUCUGGGAGGACCAUCUCCCAAGGCUAAAUACUCCCUAGUGAUCGAUAGUGAACCAGUACCGU